GACGAACGCUGGCGGCGUGCUUAACACAUGCAAGUCGAGCGGUAAGGCCCUUCGGGGUACACGAGCGGCGAACGGGUGAGUAACACGUGGGUGACCUGCCUCUAGCUCUGGGAUAAGCCUGGGAAACUGGGUCUAAUACCGGAUAUGACUCCACGGCGCAUGUUGUGGGGUGGAAAGCCUUGUGUGGCUAGAGAUGGGCCCGCGGCCUAUCAGCUUGUUGGUGGGGUGANGGCCUACCAAGGCGACGACGGGUAGCCGGCCUGAGAGGGCGACCGGCCACACUGGGACUGAGACACGGCCCAGACUCCUACGGGAGGCAGCAGUGGGGAAUCUUGCGCAAUGGGCGAAAGCCUGACGCAGCGACGCCGCGUGAGGGAUGAC
rnacentral:rRNA from 1 species